GAUGAACGCUAGCGGGAGGCCUAACACAUGCAAGCCGAGCGGUAGAGUUUCUUCGGAAACUUGAGAGCGGCGCACGGGUGCGUAACACGUGUGCAACCUACCUUUAUCUGGGGGAUAGCCUUUCGAAAGGAAGAUUAAUACCCCAUAAUAUAAUGAUUGGCAUCAAUUAUUAUUGAAAACUCCGGUGGAUAGAGAUGGGCACGCGCAAGAUUAGAUAGUUGGUGAGGUAACGGCUCACCAAGUCAAUGAUCUUUAGGGGUCCUGAGAGGGAGAUCCCCCACACUGGUACUGAGACACGGACCAGACUCCUACGGGAGGCAGCAGUGAGGAAUAUUGGACAAUGGGUGAGAGCCUGAUCCAGCCAUCCCGCGUGAAGGAUGACGGUCCUAUGGAUUGUAAACUUCUUUUGUACAGGGAUAAACCUACUCUCGUGAGGGUAGCUGAAGGUACUGUACGAAUAAGCACCGGCUAACUCCGUG
rnacentral:rRNA from 1 species